rnacentral:rRNA from 1 species
AGCAGCCGCGGUAAUUCCAGCUCCAAUAGCGUAUAUUAAAGUUGUUGCAGUUAAAAAGCUCGUAGUUGAAUUUCGGGGUCAGUAGGUUGGUCAUGCCACUGGUAUGUACUGGUCUCCCUGAUUCCUCCUUCCUGAUGAGCCGUAAUGCCAUUAAUUUGGUGUUGCGAGGAAUCUGGACUGUUACUUUGAAAAAUUAGAGUGUUUAAAGCAAGCUAACGCUUGAAUACAUUAGCAUGGAAUAAUGAAAUAGGACGUUCGAUCCUAUUUUGUUGGUUUCUAGGAUUGACGUAAUGAUUAAUAGGGAUAGUUGGGGGCAUUAGUAUUCAAUUGUCAGAGGUGAAAUUCUUGGAUUUAUUGAAGACUAACUACUGCGAAAGCAUUUGCCAAGGAUGUUUUCAUUAAUCAAGAACGAAAGUUAGGGGAUCGAAGACGAUCAGAUACCGUCGUAGUCUUAACCAUAAACUAUGCCGACUAGGGAUCGGAUGAUGUUAAUUUUUAAUGACUCA